rnacentral:rRNA from 1 species
CCUACGGGUGGCAGCAGUGGGGGAUAUUGCACAAUGGGGGGAACCCUGAUGCAGCGACGCCGCGUGGGUGAAGAAGCGCCUCGGCGCGUAAAGUCCUGUCAGCAGGGAAGAAAAUGACGGUGCUAGAAAACGAAGCCCCGGCUAACUACGUGCCAGCAGCCGCGGUAAUACGUAGGGGGCGAGCGUUAUCUGGAUUUACUGGGGGUAAAGGGGGCGCAGGCGGCGAAGCGAGCAGGGGGUGAAUGCCGGGGGCCCAACCCCGGGACUGCUCCUGGGACUGGGUGGCUGGAGUGCAGGAGGGGCGGGCAGAAUUCCAGGUGUAGCGGGGAAAUGCGCAGAGAUCAGGAGGAACACCGGUGGCGAAGGCGGCCUGCUGGAC